ensembl:lncRNA
UAUGUAACAAUACUGCAUUGUGUGAUGGUUUUCAAUGCUUUAUGAUCUUUUUUGUCAGCAUGGAUGGCUAUAACACAUUACCAUAAGCUGGGUCGCUGAUACACAACAAAAAGUUGAUUUCUCACAGUUCUGGAGGCUGGAAAGUCUCAGGUCAAGGCAGCAGCAAGCAGGUUUACUGUCUGGAUUUUGAGAUUAGUGGUGACUGAAGAAACUCCUGAUUUCCUCCUUGAGAGCCCUGGACUGACCAUAGACAAUCUUCUCUUCUAAUAUCUCAGUAGAAUCAUGGCUUUCAAAGUUACAGGGUCACAAAGUGCCUUGAAAUAAAUUUCAAAGGGAACAGCAAAUUCUGGAAUCACACCCAAACUCUUUAUGUUCAUGACUGUAACAGAGUUAAUAAAUUGUGGGUGUAAAUGAAUAACUGCAGUGUCCUGCUUGGAAACCCAGUGCAAAGGGCUUAUGCAGACUUGGCUGCCUGUGGAGAUCUGGCCUGCCACAAGAGGAUUGAGCCCAGAAAGAGUACCUCUGCCAAGGGACAGGACCCCUGGAAGCCUCUCCAAAAGCUGAUGCCUCAAAUAGAUAUUGAAGAGUAAUUUGCCAGGUGGGAAAGCAGAAUAAGGCAUUUCAGUCAAACCAAAGUUAUAAAGACCUGAAAAAAUAUAUUUAUUUGGAAAUACGUGUUUGUGUGUGUGCAUGUAUGUGUGUGUGUGUGUGUGUGUGUGUGUGUGUGUGGCGGUGGUGGUGGUGAUGAUUUAGUGAGUUAGAGAAGUGUCAGGAAAAUGGGUAGAAUGUGAGUUAGGGGCUAUGUCAUCCUGACUUAAAGAACAGUAUGCUAUGUAAGGCAUUUUGCAUUUUAUCCUGAAGAAGGUUCUGACAGAUUUUAACAGAGAUGGAAAAGCAUUCGUUGCAUUGUUAUAAUAAAAUCUCUUGUGAUGGAUUGAGAUAGGUACAGGAGGCCGCACCGAGGAAUCUGUGCAGUACAAGGUCAGCAAAAUGGCAGGGCUUGUGCCACCAGUAGAUUCGGUGGACGGAGGAAUUUAGUGGAGUCUGUUAAAGGUGAGAGGUUGAAGGACACCACAUUUGAGAAUUAGGUCUUACAGUUGUGAAUUUAACCUUGACCGAGCAAAUUUGUAGCUGAUUGUUUUUAAAACUUGCACUAUUGAAAGUGGGAUUCCUUGGGUGUUUAUCUGAAAAAAACAAAACAAACAAACAAAAAACAAUAAAAAACAGUGACUGUUUUAUAGCCAGCCUUCUCUCUUGAGAUUGCAUGCCAGGACAGCAAAUAAGAAACAGGUAGCUGUCAGGUGGCUGUAGAGGACCAAAGAGGUCACCUCAAUGAGGGCUAAUUUGGCACUGAGGCUGAUGUGAAGGGCACCUUCUUGUAGUCCCUUUGUGCCUCUUAACUAACCGCAUCAAAUUUCAAUUUUCUUAAAAUGCAGGAAUUGAACGGAGACCGCUAAGGGUACUCUGAGCCCUCGUGGUCUAAGACUCUUGAUUGACAUCAUCUAAUUUGGAGCUCAUGGGUUAGUUUUCAAAUUUUAAACCUUCUAUUUUUGAUUUUCAUGAGAAAACCUUUCUAUUUCUGUUCACAUACACUUUAUGUAAACGAAUUAAGUAGAGAGAAAUAUAGAGUAACUUUCCUCCUUUUGUUGUUAAGAUAAUCUUCUUCAUGUCAACAAAACAAUGAAGAUUAUGCUUGUCUGUGAAAAUAGAAAUGGAAUUCUAAAACUCUUAUAGAUAUUUUUUUUUUAAAAAAAGAACCUGAUAUGAUUUUGCCUAACUGGUAAGGUGCCAUUUUGCAAGGCACAGGAUGUCAUCCACAGUGAGAGCUUCCACCUUCCUAUGCUCCACCUCACAGAUUGUCUUGUUGGCAUGCUCCACUUCAGUUUUUAAAGCUAAUUAGAAGAUAUUCACUUUUGUCUCAGUUAUAUAUUCAGGGAGAAACCAUAUAUCUAUACAAAUUAGGUAGACUUCAAUUGCCAUUCAAGUUUACUGAAGGUCCAAGGCAGAUGAGGACCUGUCAGAGAAUUUUCCCCAAGGAAAGCACAAGCAAAGAUAGACACCCUGUGCACGGGCUCCUACUCGGUGUGCUGGAGGGUGUGCUGGAGCCUGCUUAACAGUCUGUCAAUAAUUAUAUCAGUUAUAUAAAGAUUUGUUCCAAGGUUUAGGAAAAUCAGUCUCAUAAAAAUAAAAUAACUUACCCCACAUCAUGAACUAGUAAAAACUUGUAUUUCGGGGAGUCAGGAUGGGAACACAAGUUUGAUUCUCAGGCCAGUGCCUUUCAGCCUCACUCUGAUUCAAAAUAAAACAGUCCGUCACCCUUCCUCUGGAAGCAACACCACAAAACAAGAGAUAACUACUCCACUUUUGACUCAGAGCAAUGAGAGAAAGUCCUGGCCAGGACAAACUAACUUUGUUAAAAGUCUAAUACUGUAGGCCCUGCUAGACUCUUGUAUUUGUUCAUCAGAUUUAAUUAGCAAAAAAAUACUCAUGAAAUAGUGAUAUUACCGCUUCAUGGAUGAAUAGUAAGUGGUGAAUGUUACAUCAAAUAUAAGUAUACUCAACUUCAAAACCACUUCUACACCUAAAGUUUUGGAUACACAGAACUGUUGUAAUAAACAACUAUAUGAGUUGAUAUUGUCUCUAACUUCUAACUGAGGAACCAAAGGUAUGGGGAGAUUACUGUCUCAACCACAUUUACUAAGUUGGAACAUGCCAAGUGGGGAUUUGGACCCAGUUCUCCCACUUUUCUCCAAUGAUCUUUCACUGCCUGAUUUUUAAAGUCACUAAGAAUGCUGCCCUCCUCACUUUUAUUUAGGCUUUUCUUUCAGUCCAAAACGCCCUUCCCUGCAUGGUAGCAAACUUAAUCUUCAAGAUCUUGCAUCUUUAAUUUAAAAACCCAAAAAUCUUUAGGAACCUGGAGUGCAUCUGGGCAUUGUGCUACAUGCUGAAGAAACUCCAGAGAGGAAUUCUGUUGCCUUUG